rnacentral:rRNA from 1 species
CGCGUAGGCGGUUUGUUAAGUUGGAUGUGAAAACUGUGGGCUUAACCCAUAGCCUGCAUCCAAAACUAGCAGGCUAGAGUUCUGGAGGGGAUAGCGGAAUUCCUGGUGUAGCGGUGAAAUGCGUAGAUAUCAGGAGGAACACCGGUGGCGAAGGCGGCUAUCUGGACAGAGUCUGACGCUGAGGCGCGAAAGCUAGGGGAGCAAACAGGAUUAGAUACCCUGGUAGUCCUAGCCCUAAACGAUGGAUACUUGCUGUGACUGGGAUUGAAUCCAGUCGUGGCGAAGCUAACGCAUUAAGUAUCCCGCCUGGGGAGUACGGUCGCAAGGCUGAA